GGCGGCUUGGCGGAAUUGGUAGACGCGCUCGACUCAAAAUCGAGUUCCUUGUGAGUGUGGGUUCGAUUCCCACAGCCGCUA
rnacentral:tRNA from 2 species